rnacentral:rRNA from 1 species
CCUACGGGAGGCAGCAGUGGGGAAUUUUGGACAAUGGGCGCAAGCCUGAUCCAGCAAUGCCGCGUGCAGGAUGAAGGCCUUCGGGUUGUAAACUGCUUUUGUACGGAACGAAAAAGUCUGCCCUAAUACGGUGGGCCCAUGACGGUACCGUAAGAAUAAGCACCGGCUAACUACGUGCCAGCAGCCGCGGUAAUACGUAGGGUGCGAGCGUUAAUCGGAAUUACUGGGCGUAAAGCGUGCGCAGGCGGUUAUAUAAGACAGAUGUGAAAUCCCCGGGCUCAACCUGGGACCUGCAUUUGUGACUGUAUAGCUAGAGUACGGUAGAGGGGGAUGGAAUUCCGCGUGUAGCAGUGAAAUGCGUAGAUAUGCGGAGGAACACCGAUGGCGAAGGCAAUCCCCUGGACCUGUACUGACGCUCAUGCACGAAAGCGUGGGGAGCAAACAGGAUUAGAUACCCUGGUAGUCCACGCCCUAAACGAUGUCAACUGGUUGUUGGGUCUUCACUGACUCAGUAACGAAGCUAACGCGUGAAGUUGACCGCCUGGGGAGUACGGCCGCAAGGUUGAAAACUCAAAAUAGAGUAGACGGCGUGAGAGUAGCCGACGACGACGACGAGGGAGGAGG